ACGUACGGCCGUGCUACCCUGAACACGCCCGAUCCCGCCUGAUCUCGGAAGCUAAGCAGGGUCGGGCCUGGUUAGUACUUGGAUGGGAGACCACCUAGGAAGACCAGGUGCUGUAGGCG
rfam:Pteropus alecto contig44178, whole genome shotgun sequence.